UAUGAAAAAAUAACAAGCAAAUUUUGACUUCAAAAACCUUGCAAAUAUUUAACAAAAAUCACCGCGUACUCAUUUCUGCUCCCCACUGUAUAUAUAUAUGUAUGUACAUACAUU